rnacentral:rRNA from 1 species
GGAAUCGAUAACCGCUGAAAGCAUCUAAGCGGGAAGCGAGCCCUGAGAUGAGUCUUCCCUGAUACUUUAAGUAUCCUAAAGGGUUGUUCGAGACUAGAACGUUGAUAGGCAGGGUGUGUAAGCGCUGUGAGGCGUUGAGCUAACCUGUACUAAUUGCCCGUGAGGCUUAACCAU